rnacentral:rRNA from 1 species
GUGCAGCAGGCGAGAAACUUUACAAUGUGCGAAAGCACGAUAAGGGAACUCUGAGUGCCUCCUAAGGAGGCUGUUCAGGUGUCUAAAAAGCACCUGGAGUAAGGGCUGGGUAAGACCGGUGCCAGCCGCCGCGGUAGCACCGGCAGCCCAGGUGGUAGCCACUUUUACUGGGUCUAAAGCGUCCGUAGCCGGUUGAGUAAGUUCCUUGGGAAAUUUGGCUGCUCAACAGUCAAGCUUCCAGGGAAUACUGCUCGACUUGGGGACUGGGAGAGGUCAGAGGUACUCCAGGGGUAGGGUGAAAUCCAUUAAUCCCUGGGGGACCACCGGUAGCGAAGGCGUCUGACCAGACCAGGUCCGACGGUGAGGGACGAAGGCUAGGGUCGCGAACCGGAUUAGAUA